rnacentral:misc_RNA from 1 species
CGAAUAUUUGCGACGGUGCGCGAAAUGCUCAGCCGCGAGAUCGACGGAACCGCGUUCAGGCUGAUCGGCGCCGGCGUCAGCGCCUUGAAACCCGGCGCGGAAGCCGACGGUCAGGAUCUGCUGGACCGGCGGUCCGCGCAUGCAGAGCGCGCAAUGGACGAUGUCCGCAAGAAAUUCGGCAAUGCCGCGGUGAUCCGCGGAAUUGCGUAUGACGGUCCGGCGAAGGCUGAGUAACGCCUCACCCUAUUUGCAGGGCUUGGUUUCCUUGAUGUCGAUCUUGUCCAUCGCGCCUGCGAUGACGAAAUCGUUGUAGUCGAGCGAUAGCGCCCGCGACACGCCAUCCUCAUAGAGUUCGAAGGACAUCGCAUAAGCCGGCGUCUGUUCACCGCUAUUCGAUUUCGUUGCGCGGU